rnacentral:rRNA from 1 species
CAAUAGCGUAUAUUAAAGUUGUUGCGGUAAAAAAGCUCGUAGUUGGAUUUCUGUUGAGGGUGACCGGUCCGGACCACGUCUGUGUAUCUGGCUCAGCCUCGGCAUCCUCUCAUAGGACGUUUCUGCGCUUGAUUGCGUGGAGCGGACUCUGGGACUUUUACUUUGAGGAAAUUAGAGUGUUCACGGCAGGCUAUCGCCAGAAUACAUUAGCAUGGAAUAAUACUAUAGGAUCUUGAUUCUAUUUUGUUGGUUUCUAGAAUUGAGAUAAUGAUUAAUAGGGACAAUUGGGGGCAUUCGUAUCAACACGUCAGAGGUGGAAUUCUUGGAUUGUGUUGCGACGAACUACUGCGAAAGCAUUUGCCAAGGAUGUUUUCAUUGAUCAAGAACGAAAGUAAGGGGAUCGAAGACGAUUAGAUACCAU